rnacentral:lncRNA from 1 species
UGACCCACCAGUUAUUAUAUUGGUUCAGCUGUAUGGUUGGGUUAAGUUGAUUUUACAGAAUUUAUCAGGUCUUCAAAGCAGAAACAGGUGAUUUU